GGUUUGAUCAUUACGUUUACUUCGUUGCUUGUGUCGAGUUGCUUCGGGUGCUGGUGCUUGAUGCGAAAACCAUAAGGAGCUCUGGUUCUUUCGAUGGUUCCAAGAGCUUACACUACUACCACAAAAAAGAGCUGGACUCUUGUUCGUCAGUGUAGGUGUAAUGAGUUGGUGUCGGAUUCUACAAGUGAGCAGUGCGCGAGAGUGUUGUCUACACCUUCAAACUGCUUUUGUAGUUUUUGGGGAAAGAUUAUACAAUAAUGUGUUGGUGUUUUCGCAUGCUUAGUCUUGUGUAUGAGUGUCAGACGGUCUCUAGAUGAACACAAAGUGUGUACAGCACUAACUAAAAACAGUCGCCUUUUAGACAAACCAGUGAAGAAGGUACGUUAGCAAAAGUAUGAGUGAGUAAGCAGGACGACAACAGUGUUUACCCACUAGGCUGUUUGAUACGUCAAAGUGAAAACGAAGGAAAGCACCAUCAGUUGUCGAGGUGGUGGUGUUGUGUGAUGCAGUGAUGUACUAGCAGCCGUCAGCAGCAAGCAUUAGAUAGGUAGGCAUUGAAAGAAAAACUUAGCAGAAACGCUUAGUACUUGACAACAUAUUGCACAUUGCUACCGUACCUAAUGUUUGCAAUCUCGCCAAGUGGAGACCAAACGUAGUUGCAUUCCACAACGCACUAUCACCUACAACGGCAGCAAAACCAGCAGUGAGAUUAGUCGCAAUAGGCUAACCAACUCCGGAACUCUUCAGUUCGUAUUUUCAUCAUUAUUUUUCCUUUUUGAUUUAAUGGUGCCCUCAAUAGACAAUCAAAAUUGAUUGCGUUCAGAACACGAGAGGCGGCGGCUCUUCGGGAAGGUCCUCCUCGUCGGACGAAGACCUCAAUGAACGACCACCAGCGAGAAAACGCGCUCGCAAGACUGAUCCUGACCCGCCGGCGGAAGCAGCAUCAGGUCUCCUCCACAGCUUGCCACCGUCCUCGGUCAUCGUCGUCGUUGUGGUAGAGCAGGCGGAGGAACAGCAGCCGGAAGGGGAGCGCGAAGCGGGAAGUGUCGAAGUGGCCGCACCCAGGCAAGAGCAACAGCAGGAGGAACAAUUCUUAGCAGCAGUACGCUCGGAAGCACCUAGUGAGCAAGUCAGGUCGGCAGCAGAGGUGGAGAGGGAACGGGACGGCGGUGACAGUCGUCCUGCUGCUACCACCGCCGCUGGUCGUCGAAGGUCACGUAUCAGCAGUACAAUCGCUGCAGAAGAUAGUGGAGCUGUAGGUGGUGGUGGUGGUGGUGGUGGCGGAGCUGGUGAAGGCGCAGAAGAUACCUCAACAGUAGGCGUUGCAGUGGAGGGGAUUAAUCGAGGCUUCUGCAGCAACAAGAGACGAAGUUCACGAGGAAGACCGCAGUGCGCUGGUAGUGGAGCAGACAGAAGCAUUGAUCGGCACGGGGAAAGUCGGCUGCGUUCCACCGGGCGCCAGGAAAAUCACUACCAAAACGCCUCCCAUUCUCGAUCCGUGUGUUUCUUAGAGAGGCACGAGUCCAGCAUUGGGCAUAGAGGCUUUGAUAACGAAGAUAUUUCCGAAGAGAGCGAGGGGGAAGAGGAGAACGUCGACGAGGGUCAGGAGAACGCCGUGCAACAGCAGUUGGUUGAACAACCGAGUGACGAGUCUUCGAGCCCCCAAUCGAAACGACGAAAGAUGUUAAACGACAACAACAAUCGUAACGGAGCUGGUUCUCUGGCAGAUACGGCCGCAGCCCCGUCUUCGAUGGAUGAUUCAACGAACUGUGAUCUGAAUGGUCACAACAAUGUGGCGAACAGUAGCAGCAAUAGUAACAACACUACCACCGUUAAUAAUAGUAGCAACGCUGCCUCCGAAGCCGAUGGCAAUGGUGUGACCAACAAUGGACUGAUAGCACGCAACGGUAGUGAUGCUGGUGGUGGGGCCAAUUCCUCUUCCUCCUCCGGUGGCUCAGCAGGUCACUCGCAGCGAGCUACAGUUGUGAAGCUCGAUCGCACUAACCAGGACAUCGUACGAUUGAUCGGCCAGCACUUGAAGGACAUCGGUCUCGAGCGGAGUGCCGAAAUGUUGAUGCAAGAAUCGGGUUGUUGUCUGGAGCACCGUGCCGCGACUAAGUUCCGUUCCCACGUCCUGUCAGGCGAUUGGACGAAAGCAGACCACGAUCUGCAAGAGCUGCAGUCAAUGGUGGAUAGCAAAACUGACCGUACCAGCCUGAACGAGAUGAAAUUUCUAUUGCUCGAGCAAAAAUAUCUCGAAUUCCUGGAAGAGGGCCGCCCGAUCGAUGCCCUACACGUGCUGCGUAACGAGCUUACGCCGUUGCAGCAUAAAACUCCACGAGUUCACCAGCUGUCAUCGUAUAUGAUGUGCACGAACAAUCAGGAACUGUAUCAGCGAGCUGGCUGGGAAGGUCGAGGCGUUAAGUCGCGCACUCGAUUGAUGGAUCGAUUGCAGUCAUACCUCCCGGCAACGGUAAUGCUGCCUCCGCGCCGACUACGGUCGCUGUUGGCCCAGGCUGUGGAGAUGCAGAAUGAGCGCUGCCAGUGUCACGAUAUGGCCUGGAGUACUAGCCUUGAGAACGUUUCACUGCUAGUCGAUCAUAACUGCGGUGCGGACGGUUUUCCGCUGCAGGCACUACAGGUGCUGAACGAUCAUUCUGAUGAGGUGUGGUUCUGUAAAUUUUCCCCGGACGGACUGCGAUUAGCCACUGGUUCAAAGGACAAUACCGUAAUCGUAUGGGAAGUAGAUCCGGUGAAGUUAUGGCUGCAAAAUAAGCGUUCAUUCGAGGGCCACACGUAUGGCGUGUCAUACAUUGCAUGGAGCCCAGAUUCGAAACACUUCAUUGCGUGCGGUCCAGACGAUUGUCCCGAUCUCUGGAUCUGGGAUGUGGAGCAGGAGAAAUUGAUCACGAAAUUUUCACACUCCACCGACGAUAGCUUGACGUGCGCAGCGUUCAACCGUGAUGGGACCCGGUUCGUGACAGGCGGUACCCGUGGUCAAUUCUAUAUGGUCGAUCUUGACGGCAGCUUGCACGACAACUGGGAGGGCGUUCGUGUGAACGGGUUGGCCUUUCUGUCCGACAACAAAACUGUGCUGGCUGCCGAUACUCACUACCGGAUACGGGGCUACAGCUUUGACAAUCCGCGCACUGACUAUGGGAUCGUGCAAGAACAGUGUCCUAUCAUGACGUUCUCCGUAAACGGAGCGGACCGGUUGGCGUUGCUCAACAUAUCGUCCCAGGGCCUGCACCUGUGGGACUUGCAGGACAAGUGCCUGGUGCGGAGAUUCCAAGGGGUCACACAGGGCAAUUACACAAUCUACUCUUGCUUCGGCGGAGUAAACGAAAGCUUCGUGGCCAGCGGUAGUGAAGACAACAAGGUAUAUAUUUGGCACAUCCGACGCGAGGAACCACUAGCCACGCUCAUUGGGCACACUCGCACGGUCAACUGUGUCAGCUGGAAUCCGGUGUAUCCGUCACUGUUGGCUUCGGCGUCAGACGAUGGAACGGUUCGUAUCUGGGGACCACAGCAACCGCACACACAGUGGAGUUCGAACGGUGCUGGCAUUCACCAACAGCCGACCACAGCUGGUGGCGGUGGUGGAUUAGUUUGCGCUAACGGUAAUGGUGGUGGAGCCGUUGCAGCUGCAGCUAGCGAUAGUGCCUCGAUCAGUUCCACCGGUUCAGCCACCUCGUCGUCAUCAUCGGCGUCAUCUUCAUCUGGUGGUGGUACUGGCGGUGGUGGCGUUUCUGGAGUUUCCGGUGCCCCAGGUGGCGGAGGAGCCGGUGGCAGUAUUGAAGUACUAUCAACCUCAUCUUGGAAUAUCACAUAAUGUUAAGCUUCGAGAAACGUUCGACUUCUCCAAGAAAACUGAAAAACGCUUGCGUGAGCGUUCUGAUCUUCGAAUGGGGGAAAGCUGAAAGAUAUUCAACCAGUCUGCUGUCGCCUCAACGAAGAGAAGAAACCGAACAGAAUCGCAACUGGAUGAGAAAAUGACAAACGAGGAAGAAGUAUGUAGACACACCAAGGAAUGAACAAUAACACUUGAGCAAGUGAAAGGCGCAGGGAAAGUAAAAGAAAACACACAGAAACACACAAUUUAGGGAUUUAUGGUAGUUUUAACAUUUGAACUUGAUAGCAGAAGCAGAGCCCUUAAUUAUUAAAUUCGUAUUAAAGCGUUACACUAAGGCGUUAGUGAGAUAAAUGGAUGGAUGGUGUUGGGAGACCGAUUGGAAUUUGACUGUUCAACUUGCACAGAGCAAAAACGACGAUGAAACCUUCCAACAGAUCCCUAUGAAGUGAAGAGAAAAAUUAUAGCAAGUGGAUAAAAACCUGCCGUAAUCGACAAAGAAACAACAGCGACACUUCUACAGCGUCUUUGGCGAGAAGCAAGAAUGGAUUAGGUGGAAGGCCAUUGCUUACAGUAGAACGGAAUUCGUUCAUGAUCUGCAGCAAAACGAGCGAGCGCUGAAGUAACGGCGAAUAACAAAACGAUUAUUAAACUUUCGUAGUCGAUAAGGAUCGAACGAAACGGUGCUCUACCCGAACAUGUGUAGAGAAACUGAUGGCAAAUAAAUAUUAAAACAACACUGAAAUAUAGAUAAACGAUCAUGAAACUCAUGGACAUUUGUGGGGGAGAGGGUCAAUGAUGUACGAAUUGUAAUCUUAUUCGUCGAUGAAAAUAAGCUCAUUAUUUUAUUCAGUUAUUGCAUUUGAAGAUUUUAUUAUAGCAAUUUAGCAAACUUCAACCUUCAUCGUGGACAAACAAGUC